GAAAGAUUUGCACUUUUUUGUAAGUGAGAACAUCUGAAACAGGGACAGACAUCAAGAUUGGUUUUGGGAACAACAAAACUGUCAUCUUCCAAGAUCCAGCCUCCUGACCGUUGGGUGUGCUGUCUGAUCCAGCCAUUUAUAAUCUUCUGAAUCCAUUCAGUUUUACAGAAGCGUAUCGCUUGCAGAUUUAAGAAAAAAGACAAAGGGAAGUCUGGACCUGCAGGUCACUGAGACGAGAUCAGCAUGAGAGAAGAUCAUGGACUGCUGGAUGUUUUCCCACUGAGGGUUUCAGGCCUCUUCCAGUGACUGCGUAUGGCAGCUGAGCCAUGGGAGCCUUUGCAAAGGGAUGGGACCAGGCAGUGGGACUCCAGGACAGCUGGGACCUCUCCAGCCUUCCAGAAGCGUUCUUGCACAGCUCCCCGAGGACGUGUGGCUGCCCUCUGGGAUGGCAGGUGAGAAGGAGCCUCUGCAGUGCAGAGAGGAGUGCUGCUAAAAACCUUUCACUGAGGUAAAGGCUUGGGGGAUGUCCGUAGGACAGGUGCAGUGGGCCUGGGAGCUGAGCUGGAGUCCAGGAAGGCGGUGAAGACGUGGCCAAUGUAAAUCACUCGGGUUCUGUGUCCUCUCUGCAAAACCUUCUCAUCUCAGCGCCUUUGGCAGGAGGUGUCUGUUAACAACUACACGGCACGCAGCUUAAAACGUGAUGGUUUGUGCGGGUAAAGCCUGCUCUGUGUUUGGAGAGGCUGCACAAGAAAGGCUUGGGGCUGCAGCCUAACGCUAACCCGUGGGAGGCUGCAGGUUGUUCAGGGUCAGAGUGGAGGCAGCGUUGUUCAUCAGGUGGGUGUGAGUGGUUCUAUUUCACUGCGCCCUUUCAAGCAGCCUCGGAUGCUGUGAGGGGAGGCAUGCGAGGAAACUUCAAACAUGUAAAAGGCUGCUGAAAAAAGGGAAAGGAUCAUUUGUUCUCCCACUGCCAAGUAGAAAUUGGCUAAAAUUUUGGAUCCAGGCUGGCGACUGGGGAACAUAACUUUGUUUAAUAAUUUUAAAAAGUAGAGGGGCACGGGGUUGGGAAGUGUUUAGUACCAGCUCAGAGAAAGAGGCGUCAGAAAUGACCUUUUAUCAGUCUCCUGCUGGAGUUGGUCUGUGGAGACCAUCAGCCCAGCUUUGUGCCAGCUUUGAUGUGGAGAGAUGAGAGAUCACACUCAUCCACUGACACUGUCCUCAUGGUACAUUUGCUGGGGCAUCAUUUGUGGAGAGACUUUCAUGCUUAGGUGCUGUUUUGCUGUUCUUUCUAAACUUUCCCUUGCUUCAUGCCUCUCGGCUUAUGGUGUGGAAAAAACAGAGAACUCUCUAAGCGACCUUUCAGUAACUUUGAGCAGUUUCUGGCCUGGCCUCGUGACACGCAGGCAGCUGUUUAUUUAUAAAGGAAGCUAUGCAGACAUGGCAAGGAGUUGGCUGUUGACCCUUGCAAAGUGUUGUAAUAAGCUGGUGAUGGAAGAAGGAUAGGAAAAAAUCAAAGCAAGUCUUUACAUCAAAGGCAGAGAGAGGAGCCGCAAUUAACAUGGUCAGAUGUGGGAGAUUCAGCAGGGGAGAGAGCCGGUACCAGAAUCUGCACUGAUGUCCCCCCUGUCCAGACCCUAUCAAUCUUGCCAGGGAAUUUGACAGGUGAGGAAAGUCAAAGAGCAGCUGAGGGAUUCCGAAAUCAAAGGACUUUGAAAGCUGGAUCAGAGAAUGGAGCGCGAUUUCCCCAUCUGCUUUGAAUUUAUUGUUGCUAAUGAGGAAGCAUCUGCUUUGAAUUUAUUGUUGCUAAUGAGGUUGCUCUGGUCUGAGUGAGCACGCUGGACCAGAGGGGUCACUCGACAUUUCCAUCACAUUCAAAGGAAGGUAUCGGGGGACUUCUUCCUCCACGUUAACCCUUUCACUGUUAAGCACAUAUGAAAGAGCAAUGUAAAGUGAGGUGGAAAAGGGGAAAUACGUGUUUACUGCUUUCAAGCUGACCAAAGAGGUCAGUGGGGUCCUGUUUGGGUGCCUGACUGCUGGGAGCUCCU